UUUGUUUGAUAUUAAAAAAAUCUGUUCCUUAAGAAUGUUAUUGAUUAAAUAAUAAAAAAAUAAUAAUUAAACGAUAUGGUCUUGAAGUUUGAGCAAUAUUUUUAUCAUCAUGUUAAAUAAUGAUGAUAAAAAAAAUACUAAUUUGCUUCCAUUUAAGUUUGUCAUAUACCUCUAUACUCCGCGUAUGUAAUUAACUUCAACGAAGAGUUUCAUUUUUCUUAUAUCUUUUGAAAUAUUCUGGCUUGGAUGCUAAUCCACGGAAACUGUCGCUCUUUAACGUAGAGUAUGAAAACGAAUCUUAUUAUUAAGCGAUUUUGUAUCAAAGAUUUCUAAAUCGGUGAAAAAUUUAUUCAAAGUGGUUGCAUAUUAGAAAAAUGUUUGCGAAAAACCGAGAAAACUACGAAAUUAUACAAAGAGAUUGAGUUUAAGAAAUUUGUUUGGGAAAAACAAAAAGCCGUGUAAUCUCCAGUAUUAUUAGAAGAGAUUUGUGCGAAAAAUAUACGUUUACGAAAUGAAAAGAAAACCUCAAAAGCUACAUAAGAAGAGAUCAAGUAAAUAAUUAUGUUUGCAAAACAAAAGCCGAGCUUUUUUAAGUAAAACUUGAAAGGAUCGAACGUGGGUGAAAAAAAAAAAAAAAAAUUAUGAUAAAAUGGAAUUUAAAAAAUAUUUUAAAAUUAUGUAUGUCUAAUUAUACUUAUGUAAACAUCUUGAUUUUUUGUGUUAGCACAUAUAUCAACAUCAAAUUUAAUGUUAACAAGUAUUAACACCAAAAGCAAAAAUCAGUGGCGUAUUUAGAAAGUUUGAAAAAUUUAUGUAGAAUGGUUUUGUUACUAAAGUUGAAGAAGUGCCGUUUAAAAAUGAAAUUCGUUUGUAUACCAAAUCAAUGGCAACCUAAUUAAUGUGUACUUCCUGAGUAUAAAAAGAAGAUAGCGAGAAAGGAAAUAUUAA
rnacentral:lncRNA from 1 species